rnacentral:rRNA from 1 species
CCUACGGGGGGCAGCAGUGAGGAAUAUUGGUCAAUGGACGAGAGUCUGAACCAGCCAAGUAGCGUGAAGGAUGACUGCCCUAUGGGUUGUAAACUUCUUUUAUAUGGGAAUAAAACGUUCCACGUGUGGGAUUUUGUAUGUACCAUAUGAAUAAGGAUCGGCUAACUCCGUGCCAGCAGCCGCGGUAAUACGGAGGAUCCGAGCGUUAUCCGGAUUUAUUGGGUUUAAAGGGAGCGUAGGUGGAUUGUUAAGUCAGUUGUGAAAGUUUGCGGCUCAACCGUAACAUUGCAGUUGAAACUGGCAGUCUUGAGUACAGUAGAGGUGGGCGGAAUUCGUGGUGUAGCGGUGAAAUGCUUAGAUAUCACGAAGAACUCCGAUUGCGAAGGCAGUUCACUGGACUGCAACUGACACUGAGGCUCGAAAGUGUGGGUAUCAAACAGGAUUAGAUACCCGUGUAGUC